rnacentral:tRNA from 1 species
GCCCUGGUGGUCUAGUGGUUAAGAUUCAGCGCUCUCACUGCAGCAGCCCGGGUUUGUUUCCUGGUCAGGGAA